rnacentral:misc_RNA from 1 species
CAACUUCUCAACCACAUUGAUUGAUUGAUGUGGCUUGGACAUGGGGGGUGUUUAUCUUUUUGCUGGCUUCCUUUCUGAAGUCGGCUCCCCUGAAAUGCAUUAGUGGUGUCUGAGCGGAACUGCUAGGUGUGAUAAAUUAUCUAUGCCUUUUGGUAUUCUGCAUGAAACAGAUCGUGCUGCUUCUAACACAGAACAUAUUUGAUGA